rnacentral:lncRNA from 1 species
AAUGACGUCAGCAUCCGCCGGGCUCGCGGUAAGGUGUGAGGGGAGGGACAAUCUUGGUAGAACGGUGACAUGGGCGCCAGGAGGCGCUGUGGAGACCGAGGAGAAGAGAAGACAGUGUAACCACACCUGAACAGACCCUUUUUCAAGACUCCCUGCUGGCAUGUAGUUCAGAAGACAAACUAAUGAAUCUGUCACAGAAUGUUGGAAGAAUGACUAGCCCUUGGCCUAAAGGUAAGUUUUCACUCUGCCAGGUCUCCCCCUGGUGAAGAUGUAUAAUGGGGAACCUGAUCUGGGGGGAUUAGGGAAGGGUAAACUCUGAAGGAAGACAUUAGAAGGAAAAGAGGGAGGUGAAGGUGGGAGAUAACAUUUAGGGAAAUGAAACCAUGUGGGCUAAUGGUAAGGAAUGAAGCCACCAGAGGGGAAGCACGGGAGAAUCAUGCUGAAGAGUUUGCUUCUUAUCCAGGGGUAGGGGAAGCCAUCAGGUUUGCAUCUUAGAAGGAUCAUGCUUGCUGCUAUUUGGGGGACUGGAUCAGAAUGGGGGACUAGUUAAAAGGCUGUUAAAGUCAUUUAGGUGAGAGUUGGUGAGGGCACUGAAGAUGCAGAAAACUGGAUUCAACAGUUCUUUUUUUUUUUU